rnacentral:lncRNA from 1 species
AAAAAUUGUAUAAUGCAAAUAUUAUGACUAAGAUUGUAACAUUUGCAACAUACAUGCUUUUUAUUAGCAAUUUGCGUUAAGGAUCUCGAAAAAUAUAAAGAAACAGAAUCAACCUGCUAUGGAGAUUGUAGAUACGAAACCUUCUGAAACUAUUGAUUUUGGAUACACGACUGGAAUGACUAUAACAUGUCGGUAUAAUCUAAAAAAUGUUCUUUACUUUGCUCUCGUUCAAAAUCUGAAUUAUAUCGUUUUCAAAACUCAUUAUGUCGAGGAGGAAAGGAAGUUUCUGCCAGUGAUCAAGCGAAAGGGUUUUGACUGUACUCUAGAUCAUAUUAAAAAUGAUGAGGUUACCUGCUGGAAAUUUAAUCCAACUUGCGAUGAUGCGGCAUAUUACUCAUGUAAAACAAAUCUCGAAUCUUCAAAGGUUAAAGCUUUAAAAGCGAGAUCUUACAUAAACAAGCUGCAAGUUCUUAACCCACCUGCUGAAAAGGGCAAGACAAUGUUCUUGAGAUGUACUGCAUAUGUCGGUGCACCACUUCGUGAAGCUUAUUUUAUAUGGUUUGUAAGAACAAAAUUUGGAGUAGAUGUUUUUGAAAGGUUUCAACAUAUCACACAUUAUGGCAAGUGUUUCACUGCAGCAGUAUCAGUGUAUAAUUAUACUUUAGAAAAGACGUAUAAUGGCACAACAAGCAUUUCAUGUUUUCUGGGCGGUAAAACAAUCACUGAAAAACUCAUUUAGCAGGGCAAUAAGAGCGUUGUGGUUUGCUUGAACAUUGUGAUAUCGAAGAAUGUGAAAUGAGAGAAAAUAGAGAGCUUCCAACAAGCGUACAUUUAUUAGGCGGUGAAUGAAUGGCGCGAGUGAAUUGCCCUAAAAUGAGCAUGCGCCUGUAGUUUGAGUAACAUAGAAGAGAGAAAAGCAUUUACCAUGGUACUACUGAUAAAUUGUAUAAUGCAAAUAUUAUUACUAAGAUUUUAAUAUUUGCAACAGCCCUGCUUUUUAUUAGCAAUCUGCAUGAAGUAUCUCGGAAAAGAAAAACCGAAUCAACCAGGUUACUGCCUGAUGAACCUCUUCUGCGAAACUUCCUAGUUACGGUCAACUCACAUUUUCCCGGAAAUAAAUAUUAGAUUCAACACCUUC